UGGGGAAUUUUGGACAAUGGGCGAAAGCCUGAUCCAGCAAUGCCGCGUGUGAAGAAGGCCUUCGGGUUGUAAAGCACUUUUGUCCGGAAAGAAAUCCUUGGCUCUAAUACAGUCGGGGGAUGACGGUACCGGAAGAAUAAGCACCGGCUAACUACGUGCCAGCAGCCGCGGUAAUACGUAGGGUGCAAGCGUUAAUCGGAAUUACUGGGCGUAAAGCGUGCGCAGGCGGUUUGCUAAGACCGAUGUGAAAUCCCCGGGCUCAACCUGGGAACUGCAUUGGUGACUGGCAGGCUAGAGUAUGGCAGAGGGGGGUAGAAUUCCACGUGUAGCAGUGAAAUGCGUAGAGAUGUGGAGGAAUACCGAUGGCGAAGGCAGCCCCCUGGGCCAAUACUGACGCUCAUGCACGAAAGCGUGGGGAGCAAACAGGAUUAGAUACCCUGGUAGUCCACGCCCUAAAACGAUGUCAACUAGUUGUUGGGGAUUCAUUUCCUUAGUAACGUAGCUAACGCGUGAAGUUGACCGCCUGGGGAGUACGGUCGCAAGAUUAAAACUCAAAUGAAUUGACGGGGUCAUAGCUGUUUCCU
rnacentral:rRNA from 1 species